UACGUAGGGUGCAAGCGUUUAAUCGGAAUUACUGGGCGUAAAGCGUGCGCAGGCGGUUGUGCAAGACAGAUGUGAAAUCCCCGGGCUUAACCGUGGGAAUUGCAUUUGUGACUGCACGGCUAGAGUGUGUCAGAGGGGGGGUAGAAUUCCACGUGUAGCAGUGAAAUGCGUAGAUAUGUGGAGGAAUACCGAUGGCGAAGGCAGCCCCCCUGGGAUAACACUGACGCUCAUGCACGAAAGCGUGGGGAGCAAACAGG
rnacentral:rRNA from 1 species